ensembl:snoRNA LOC120098365 small nucleolar RNA SNORA22
CUGCACAGUGAACACCCAAGUGUGCUCUGUAGUUCCCUUGGCCUUGACUUUGUGCUAAAGUCUUUUCUUUUCCUCUGCAUUGAAAGUACUGUGUCCUUUUAAAUGUAUUCAGAAAAUCAGCACACCA